CAUUUUGAGUUUCACGAAAAAGUAGGAUAGGAACGCGAAAACCUCAAGGCUCUAUCUUAAAUAACAAGCGAGAAACCUGGCUGUCUCACCCAAAAUGGGAUGCACUGUACACUGUUCUCCUACUGUGGUAAUAUUGAUAGAUCUAAAAGAUGGCGUCCCAGAUCUAUUACAGCUGAAUGGCAGCUGAGGGAAACCUGUCUCUACAAUGGUCCUGAGAUUCUCCCAAGUAUCUGCUUUAUAAAAAACUACAAUGUCGUCCGCGAAUCCCAGAACUUCUCCCCCACAUCUCACAUUGAACAAACCAUUUAUGUAUAUACUAAAAAGUAACGGUCCCAAAACCGUACCCUGUGGGAUCCCGAACUCUACUCCUCUCCUGUCACUCAUCACGCUGUCCACCCUCACAGAUUGAGAUCUUCCUGUCAGGGUCUGCAAGAGUAAAUCAUAGCUAACGGUGUCAAAUGCCUUCGACAGGUCGACAAACAUACAAAGACUAGGCUUGCCUUCAUCCAACGCAGCGGACACCAUCGAUGUCAUAGACAACAGGGCAUCCCCCGUGGAAACUCCCUCUCUGAAGCCGAAUUGUUUAUCGGACAAGAAUUUAUACUUAGCGAUGUAAGCAGAUAACCUCUUUUUGAGGACCCUCUCCAUUAUCUUUGACAAAUGAGUUAUUAAAGUGAUUGGUCUGUA